CCUACGGGUGGCAGCAGUGAGGAAUAUUGGUCAAUGGACGAGAGUCUGAACCAGCCAAGUAGCGUGAAGGAUGACUGCCCUAUGGGUUGUAAACUUCUUUUAUAUGGGAAUAAAACGUUCCACGUGUGGGAUUUUGUAUGUACCAUAUGAAUAAGGAUCGGCUAACUCCGUGCCAGCAGCCGCGGUAAUACGGAGGAUCCGAGCGUUAUCCGGAUUUAUUGGGUUUAAAGGGAGCGUAGGUGGAUUGUUAAGUCAGUUGUGAAAGUUUGCGGCUCAACCAUAAAAUUGCAGUUGAAACUGGCAGUCUUGAGUACAGUAGAGGUGGGCGGAAUUCGUGGUGUAGCGGUGAAAUGCUUAGAUAUCACGAAGAACUCCGAUUGCGAAGGCAGUUCACUGGACUGCAACUGACACUGAGGCUCGAAAGUGUGGGUAUCAAACAGGAUUAGAUACCCUUGUAGUC
rnacentral:rRNA from 1 species